UAUUUUUAUCUCCUUUUCCUAAAAAGGGCCCUAGGUUGAUUAGUAUCAGGAAUCAAGUGACAAGUCCUGGGCCUGCUCAGGAGAGCACUGUGCUCCCCUGUUGCAUCUUGGGGUCACGUCCCCUGCUGCUUUUACCCGGAGAUCCCUGUAACGAAUACUUUUCACAGUCUGCCAUGCCUGAAACGGUCUCACUCCUGUCUGCUCUGAUACAGUCCUCCCUGACUGAUACACCCCUUCACCUGUCCACUUGCUGCCUGGUAGUCCGAGGACCAGAUGGGGGGGCCGUCUGUGCAGAGCUGCCUGCUCCUCCUGAGUGGAGGAGCUCCUCCUCUCUGGCUUCCUGGAGCCCCCUGCCCUCCCCUCCCCUGGGCUCUGAGUGGGGCAUCACACGCUCUCCACACUGCAGGCCUGCACUCCUGAAGGCAGGGGUUGCAUCUGUCCUUAUAUAAACCUAGCACCGUGCCCAGCACAGAGUAGGACUCACAUCGUGGAGUGAGUGAACAGCUUCCCAAAGCUGGAAGAGCCUGGGGUAGGCGGGAGAAUGUUCAGGAACCCAGGGGUGUGAGCAGGGCAGGCGUGGCCCGUGGAGGCCACGGACCUGAAGGCAGAUGUCUGGGGAGAAGCAGAGGCCAGCGGUAAAGACCUGAUUCCCAGGGCGACCUGGAGGAAGUAACACCAAAAAAUUUUUUUUGUAAUGCGCCUAAACCUGAUAAGGAAGAAAUAAAGAUGGUUUUAUUCUAAUCAGCACUGCAUAUUAUAUAUUUUGAGAUGAGACAUUUGAACAACCUUUAGUUGGCAGGGGCCUGUGAUUACCAUUUUAUAAAGAAAACUGCCGGUGACUUCCAGGACUGAUGUAUUUGUCUGUCCUGUUCCAGGCCAUGUCCUGACCUGCUGGGACUGAGGGAGCGAGCCUGUGCCCGGGAGCGGGUGACUCCCGCCCCCUCCUGUCUCCAAGUGCCUCUCCUUCAUUAAUCUGUCAUUUUUCCAUUUGGCCCUCUUCUCUGGUAAAGGAAAGGAGAAAAGCAUUAGAAAUAACAUUCUAGUAUUUUAGAAGUUACAGGUAGAUAACAUUAAGCAUCAUGCCUUUUCUUGUGUUUUGUUAAAAUGUUCCACGUGCUGCAGAAACUCAUGGCCUAUCUAGGAAUCAUUAAAUGCUCCAAAUUAUUAAAACAAAUUAUGAGCACAGGUGCUUCACAAGCAUGGAGGUUUAAAUAUGGGGACUUUAUUUCUCACCUGUUACAUGUAUUGGUACUUCAGACACAUUAAUUUCCCAGCUAUUUCUGAAUUAUGUAAAAUGGUGUUUUAGAUGACAUUGUAAGGGUGGUUUUUUCCCUCUGCAGAAAGGGAAGAUGAUUAAUGCAGUUACAAAGAUGUGUAUGAGAGACAGAAAAGUAUUUCUUUGUGGGUGGGAAGUGUUUCUCCAACCGCUCGGCAAAUGUAGACGCAAUAAAACGUCCAGACCAGGCACCAGGCAGGCCGUGUGCAUUACGCCCUCCCGAGCUGGAGUUUGUGGCAGGAGUUCCAGACAAAAAGAAGACCCCCGAAUCCUGCAGGCCGCACCCCAGAGCAUCCUGAGGAGGAAUCAGAGGCCCAGGGAGGGAAUCACUUUACACAGUUUGUCAACGGGGCAAAAGUGGAGUGGCUUCUGCGCUGGGGUUCUCUCUGCAACGUGUCACGGCGGUCCCCACAUCUGACCGCUAGCCUGCGGCUGCUGCAGCUGCGCUCCGUCGCGUCCAGGGAGGCAAAGUUUGACUACAGUUUGGAACUACUGGUCCUCAGCAGGCACCAGAUUCUUGGAGCCACCUGCCCGUGGGAUAUCUCCUCUUGAAAGCAGCAUUUCAAAUUCAGCAUGCCUCAGUGGAAGGUGAUUUUCCAACACCUCGGGUAACGGCCCUGUGCCCUCCUGGCUCAGCGAACACCACCACCAGCUUCCGAGCACAGCUCCCUCCCCCUACAUGCAGGCUCAUGAACUUUUAACUGCAGGCUCACCAUAAAGCAGAGCGCCCCUGCCGCUGCACAUGUUCCCCAGGGAUGCGGGCUCCUGCCGGCUGCUGCUCUCCAGCUGUCAGUGCGGACCUGGGUGUGGAUGCCGUGUAAAGGAGCGCCCAGCCUGCACUGAUCUUUAGCAGUCACGUAGUUGACUGUGAUAUCCCUGCACAGCCAGAGAAAACAAAUAAUGGUUUGGGGUCAUAUGGGUGUAUUCACUCUAGAAUUCAUUACUUAGGACCCAUGUUACAAAAUAGGUAGCUGUGAUAAAUCCUUGAGCAACUUAACCAUUUGUUAUAAUAUUGAAGAACUCAGAAAUUGAUGAACAUUUGACUUACCAAGACCCCUAUGCUCAUGAGUGGUGCAUAUCACUUGGAAGUGUACAAAAUUCCUUGGCAGUACUUUUAGGCUUAAUAUCAUCUUCAAGCCAGGUGAUCUGUCUUUGAAAUAAAAAGAAAAAAAUUUUACUUAAAUUAUAUUUGUAUUUGUCUCAUGACACUAUAGAAGAUGUCAUUUUCAUAGCUUUUUAUUUUCCAAUAGUUUACUUAUGAUUGAUAACAGAGCUAACGAGUAAUUAUUUACAAAUUCUUAAAGACAGUAUCAAAUGCUAAGCACAAGGAUAUAUAUGAAAGGAAACAUCAAAUUUGCUUAUAAAGUUUUCAUACCUGUGGGCUGGACCUUCCAGACCUUUUGACUAUCCAGUUUAUAACCUUCGAUGUGCUAGUUUCAGCCAUUGCCCAUUAUCUCACCUGAUACACUGGUGGUCACAAAAGAACAGUCCGCAGGUUUUGAUUGAAUGUGAAGAGGUCCGCACUAAGAAGUGGCCGUAAAAGCCAGCUGAGGGGAUAUUACAUGUCACUGAGCCCGCUGCCUCUCCAUCAGUGAAGCUGUGUGUCACUGACAGCACGCCCUCAUUGGGUGGAUCUAGUGCGUUACUUACAGCAAUGUGGUUUUGCUUGGUUUUGUUUUUAAACAGAACUACUGGGGAUUGAACCCAGGACCUUGCGCAUGCUGAGCACAUGCUCUACCCCUGAGCUAUACCUGCCCCUCUCCUCCAUAUGUUUUUUUUUUUUCUUUACAUGACUGAAACAAGUUUCUUUAGAGCUGGAAGCCGGGGUCACACAGUUUGGGCCAGAGUGGCCAGGCAGUGCACAUGAUGUGAGCUUUGAAAUCAGGGUAGAUGCAAAAGUUCAGACUUAGGGCCUUCAAGGACCUUGAACCGUGGGGCCACUUUAGAGCCCCAUUAUGACCCUUAAAGAUAAUGAAUUUCAGAAUCUCAUUUUCCUCUUUGUUAUAUGGCAGGAAUUACUCCUCAGUCCCCAGAAGUUGCAGGGGUUGCUGGUGCAGUGAAGUCCUGGGGUCCGGCCCCAGCAUGCCAAGGGGAAACAGAGCCUCCUUUAGACUCGAUUUGGCAGCUGUGUGGUCCUCGCACCCCCAAACCCGGAUUCCUGCCUUCUGGGGUUCAAGCCCAAACACUUGUUUCUAGGGGAAGAGUCGACAGCAUCCUCUCCCCACGCAUUCCCAAGGCCAAGGGGUUCUGGUGCCAGAAGAAAUGAGUCAAAGCAGUGGAAACCCCUGUAAACUCGGAGCUGGGCCCACCAGCGCUCGGAGGAGGGGAGGGGACGGGAUGGGAAGGUGGGAGAUGGUCCUCCAGAGAAGAGAACAGGGUGGGGGUGGGCGGGGCACUGAGAGUGCGGGGUUAGCAGCCACAAAGCAGCCUUGUGGCUAACUCACGCUCCAUGUAGGAGUCUGAGAAAUGUCAGGGAGAUGAUCUGAAGAGGCCACAAGUUGGAGAUGGAGCCUUAAGAGAAUGGCUCAAGCACAAAACUAUCAAUUUAUAAAAAGAUGAAAUUAUAUCCCUACAUUAUGCCUAAUUUAAAAAAUUAACCCUAGAUGAUUCAAGGAUUUAAACAUUAAGAUAGAAACUCCAGCAUUCUUAGUAGAAAGGAGAGUGGACGUCUCUAGACCUCAGGGCAGGGAAAGAUUUCUUAAGCAGGACAAGGAGUGUCUGAUGAAGGCUGAUGAAUCUGACUAUAUUAAGAUUAAGAACUUUAUUCAUCAAAAGACACCUUGCGGGAGGGUGUAGCUCAGUUGCACAGUGCGUGCUCAGCAUGCACAAGGACCUGGGUUCAAUCCCCAGUACCUCCAUUAAAAGAUGCAUAAGUAUCCCACUUGUUGGCACGUGAAGCUACCGAGCCCAUAAAAACUGGCAACACCAUGCCUCGCGGCCUCUCUCGCUCCCUUGUCUUCCCAGAUAGCAUGCACUCUGUCUACAGAGUCUGUAUCUACUCUUACUUUAACCUGAGCGCCCAACCCCCACAUCUCAUGGCCUUUCUCUUGCCUCCUGAAACAUGUAGUAUGUAUCUCUCUAAAUCAAAAAAAGAUAAAUAAAUAAAUAAAUCUAACUACCUCCCUCCCCCAAAACAAACAAGACACCUUAAAGAAGGUGAAAAUCAAUUUAAACUAAAAGAUAUUCACAAUACAUACAGUUGAAAAAAAAUUAGUAAGAAACUGAGACUUACUUUAUAACCCCAAGACCUUUUUUACAACUUGCACGCAUUAUUAUGUUGAUUUUUAACAUUAAAUUGGAGAAACAAAAAGAUUCAGUAAAGUUGGAUUCAUUAUCUCCUCUCAGAUAACUGUUGGAGCCUAGAUGAUGUAAUGAGGGAAUUCAGCGCAUUAAAAUUAUCCCCUUUAUGUAAAUGACUGACACUCUCCAUUUACAGUUUUAAAAAAAAAGCAAACACAUCAUAACUAAUUAUAAGAACAAAACUGUUUUCAUAUCAGGUGCCAUUUAUUCUAAAACAACUGCCAAAGAAUAUUUCUAGAAAUGCACUGGAGAAAGUAGCAGAACAUACAUGGGAGACACACACCAACUUCAAGACAAUGAAUCCCUGUGGGGAUGGAAAGGAAAGAUGCUUUAGUGGUAUGUAUUCUAAAGAAGAGAGAAGUGAGGCAACUGUGGAAAAUGCUAACAUUUUAAGUGGGGGGGGUGGUACAUGAAUCUUUGUUAUACAACUGUUUUGAAUGUGUGAAAUUUUUCAUAAUUUAAAUUAGGGGUGGAGGGUCCAGGGGUAGGUAAUUAGGUUGGUUUAUUUAUUUAUUUAACAGAAGUCCUGGGGAUCUGAACCCAGGGCCUCGUGCAUGCUUAGCACAUGCUCUACCACUAAGCUAUAGCCUCCUCCCCCAUAAUUUAAAUCCUUACUUUAAAAUUAAGCACACUGGGAAGAAGUGUGCAUCAACACUAGUUGUCUCAGGAUAUUGGAAACAGGAUUUGACUACACCAGCUCGUUUUCUAGAAUGACCAACUCUGAUGUUUAUAUUUUAAAAUAUGACACACCUGUUUGAAUGAUGAUGAAUUGGUAACAAAGCAGAGAAUUAGAAGAAGAUCACAGGUUGCAGAAGACACAGGAUGUAGACUCCGCGAGCCUGCCCUCCACCUGCCCCACCUGCCGACCCUGCAGAAACCUUCAUGCUGGCACUGGUGACUGCCGCCCCUUUCCCCCUUGGUAACCGACCCCCACAUUGCCUGUCAUCGUCACCACCUCCUUAGGCUCCUCUUGGUUGUGACAUUUUCCCAGGCUUCUAUAGGUUUUGAUGACCUUGACAGAUUUGAGGUGCACGGGAUGCCCCUCGUGGAAGUCGUGUAAGGUUUUCGCCAAGAUUGGAGUGGGAUUAUAGGUUCUAGGCAGUAAGAUCAAAGAGGUCAAGGACCAUUUUCAUCACAUCAUGCAAGUUUUCCUCUCUCCAAACAAGUUGUUUCAGGUAUUGGAGCGUUCGUUUUCCAGAAAGAGGUGUUGAAUGGUGGGGGCAGGCACUCAGCUGGGGCUCAGGGUCCCACCGCCCGCUCCUUGAGUGGCUGCAGGUUCCCCCGAGGUGGGCAGGUGUGGUUCCUAGGGCUGGGGGAGACCUCAGCCUGGAGGGAAGGGCCUUCUAGAAGACAUGGAGGCUUUGAGGAUGGUGGAGUCUUCCAAGGCCACGUUGGUUCCGAUCUUCCGCCGCCCCGCUUCAUCCCCUGCUCCCAUUCCCAGAUUCCCUCCGCUUGGCACCCAAGUAGCCCCAUCUGUGCAGCCGGCUAGAGACCCUGGCAAACUCCAGCCUAGCGGUCCUGGGGGUUGUUCCAGGCCCCUUAGCCCGCAGAGUUGGUGACUGACAGCGCCCCUGCUCGGGGAUCGCUGGUUCGGAGAGGCGCGGGACGCGGCGGCUGCGGUGGGACGCGGCAGCCGCCCCGGGGAUGCGGGACUGGGCGCGCGCAAGGGGCGGGGCGGGCCGGGCAGUAGGAGGCCGCCCUCCCCAGCUCCCUCUCUCCCUCCCUCCACCCCACGACCGCCAGAUGCUGCUCCGGGCACUGGUCCGGUGCCUGGGGCUUCCUCGCGCCCUACGUCUGAGAUAGAUUCGAGAGGACAGGCAAGUCACAACCCAGAGAUCCUCUACGCGGAGCUGUGGAUGCUGCCCGUGCUGCUCGGCCCGGGCGGCGAACUGAUGACGGCGCUCCACCGGUGGCUCGGGGUCUCACUCGCGAUGAGCGCGGUCCCAGGAUGCGGAGUCCUGAUCUGCAUUAUUGGACCGCCCUUCUACCAGUGUGUUACAAUGCUCCUCAUCGUGGCGAUGUCUUUCCAGCUUCGGAUUGGCAACAACAGAGUCUCUUGCAGGCCUGCCCUACCACUUAGAUAACCAGGACAGCGGGUUUCCAAGCGUAGUAGUCCCCAGACCAGCAGAAUCAGCAUCACCUGGGAGCUUGUUCGAACUGCAAACUGGGGCGCCCACCCUGACCCAUGGAAUCGGAAACUAGGGGUGGCACCGAGUAAUCUGUGUUUUAACACGCCCUCCAGCCAGAGCUUGGAGUAGACGGGUGCUAAAUUCUGCGCGGGCCUCGGGGCGCUCGGUUUAAGGCUGCGGCCGGUCCUCAGUCCCUUAUUCAGACGUCCGCUGGUGGCGGACGUCACCACAGGGCGGCAUUGCUGGUAGAUGGAGGCCAGGAGGCUAAGGCUCCAUGAAAGAUGCAGAUGACGAUGGGUGUGGGGACCAUCAUCCUUAAUUCUGUCACCUUCAAUUUAUCGCAAACUCGAGCUUUUAAGGAAAGUUUCAGUGGUUUUAUAGUAAAUGAUCUUUAUUGA